AUGGGAUAUUAUGGAGUUAUUUCUCUGCUGUAUGUUGGUAUUAUGGAGUGCAGCUGUAUAAGACGUUGAACUACCCAAUUGGCUUAAUUGGCACCAGUUUUAGUGGGAGCGCUGUAGAAUCAUGGUCUUCACCAGAUGCCCUCACACAAUGUGGAUGGACUGGGAAUGCUUUACCUUCUGCACCAAUAUUUAUUCCUGAAUUUGGUAACGUGGACAUCAUUAUCUUCAAUAAUUAUAGUUGUAUGUGGAAUGCCAUGAUUGUGCCGUUUCUUAAUAUGACCAUCUACGGUUCCAUCUUUUAUCAAGGAGAGACAAAUGCUUUAGGUAGAAAGUUAGAUCUUUUGCCAUAUGAAUGUAGUUUUCCUGCCAUGAUAAAUGAUUGGAGAGCAAAGUGGCACAUUUCUACACAACAUAACACUGACCCACAGUUUCCUUUUGGCUUUGUACAGCUGUCAGCUAUUAGUCAAAGUAUAGGAAUUGAUCAAUAUUACUUUGCCGCGGUACGUUGGGAACAGACAGCAGAGAAGGGCUACG